rnacentral:rRNA from 1 species
AAGCUCGUAGUUGAAUUUCGGGGUUAGUAGGUUGGUCAUGCCUCUGGUAUGUACUGGUCUCACUGAUUCCUCCUUCCUGAUGAACCUUAAUGCCAUUAAUUUGGUGUUUUGGGGAAUUUGGACUGUUACUUUGAAAAAAUUAGAGUGUUUAAAGCAAGCUAACGCUUGAAUACAUUAGCAUGGAAUAAUGAAAUAGGACGUUCGAUCCUAUUUUGUUGGUUUCUAGGAUUGACGUAAUGAUUAAUAGGGAUAGUUGGG